CGUCGUCCGUGUGCUGCUCGGGGCAGCGGCCGGCCCGUUCGCCAGCGCCUCGAGCGAGGAGUUCUGGGUCAGCCAGUCGCCGGCCCACCUGGUGUCGGACAGGGCGAGAUUCAGACGGAAUUAUUUAUAGAUUCAACCCACGGCCCUGCCUUGUGCUCUGAACCCCUCCUGGAACAAGUGCUGAGACUUGUGGGUUCCUCUGCAGAACCACGAGGACCACUCGCGUCCAAGGUCAGAACCAGCAGCGAGGCCCCUUCACUUCAGGGGUUGGUGGGCCACGUAGCAUGUCCCAUGGUAUCCCCCCACUGAGCAGCCACAAGGAGGCAGAGGUGCCCAGAGAGAAGUAAAGACCUGAGGGAGUGAUAAAAUGGUGCAGAGUCCUGCAGCCCCAUCCCAGCAGCUCCAGUGUCUGAUCCUGACCCCUGGGCACAUUUCUUUAAUCAGUAACUGGAGGGUCCUGAGGUGUAAACUGGGGAGAAAGGUUAAUACAUGACAGAGGACCAGA